CUCCGGUAGGUAAGGCUACCGCAAGGAUACGGGUUGCUGCCGCAAAGUCGUGGAGACACGAUUCGCUGGUUGGAACAGGUGAUAUCGAACCGAAAGGUGUCACUUAACGCAAUUUCACUGCCUUGCGAUGCUAAAGCUUGAACGGUGGG
rnacentral:sRNA from 1 species